ACUUGCAGCUCAGUUGGUUAGAGCGUGGUGCUAAUAGGUGCAUGUUAACGCCAAGGUCGCGGGUUCGACCCCCGUACUGACCAAGUC